UCCGGGGUAGCUCAGCGGUAGAGCUGCGCGCUGUUAACGCGUAGGUCGUGGGUUCGAAUCCCACCCCCGGAGCCA
rnacentral:tRNA from 1 species